rnacentral:rRNA from 2 species
AUUAAUAAGCGGAGGAAAAGAAACUAACAAGGAUUCCCUCAGUAACGGCGAGUGAAGCGGGAAGAGCUCAAAUUUGAAAUCUCCGAUGCUUGCAUCGGCGAGUUGUAGUUGCGAGAAGCACUUUCUAGGCGGAUCGACGGUGCCUAAGUUGCUUGGAACGGCACGUCGCAGAGGGUGACAACCCCGUCUGUGGCGCCGCCGGCCGCCGACGAUGUGCUUUCGAAGAGUCGGGUUGUUUGGGAAUGCAGCCCAAAACGGGUGGUAAACUCCAUCUAAAGCUAAAUACUGGCGUGAGACCGAUAGCGAACAAGUACCGUGAGGGAAAGAUGAAAAGAACUUUGAAAAGAGAGUUAAAAAGUACGUGAAACCGUCGAAAGGGAAACGAAUGGACUCAGCAAUGCGCCCUCUGAGAUUCAGCCGGUGGGUGGCGGCGGCGCCGGGUUUGCGGAUCUGAAUGGACCGCGGCCUGGCGCCCGCCUCUCCCCGCCGUCGCACUUCUCUGGGGCGCGCGUCAACGUGGGUUGGGACUGGGUCUGAAAGGCGCCGGGAAGGUAGGUGUGGGCCUUCGGGUCCGUUCUGUUACAGCCCGGUUCUCUCAUGGCUCGGGCCCGACCGAGGAGCGACACGGGGCAUGCCUCCUGUGGCUAGGGUCCCGCCCUUCCGGCCGGCUGUCCAGUGCGGUGGACUGCUUGCAGUGCUCCGCGACGGCUGCCGGUCGUUGGGGUGGUGAUCUCGUACCAUGCCCCUAGGAUGUUGGCGGUCAUAUGG